CCCCCGACCUGCUAGCGCCUCUAGCCCCCGGCCUGUCCCUCGGCCUGCUAGCCCCCGGCCUGGCCUUGAUCCCCAACCUGCUGGCGCCUCCAGCCUGUCACCCCCGAUCCCCUGCCCCUUAGGGCCGCUAGCCCCCAUGCCUUGUUGGCGGAUCAACCGGCUUCAGCCCCGCCGGUGGGCCGCCCGACCCCUGCUCCUCACACCAAAGCUCCCUGCCCGGCUCCCCGGCCUCUGGAGAGGUCGCCACGCCCGGCUCCCCGGCCCUGUCCUCGGGCCGCCCCCCUGAACUCCCUGGCUUUCCUGGGCCGCCCGAACCCCCUGGUCCCUCUGGCACCCCAUCUGUACUCCCUGGUUCCCCAGCUCUACCCUCUGGCACCCAGUCUAGCCCUAGGUCUUCAGUUCAGCCCUGCCCAUUCACCUAACCCUUCCCAGUCCUGAAGCCCUCCCUGAAUUCCCUGUUUUGUUUUGGACCCUGGACCCCCACCAGCCGGACCCCAGUGCGACUUCCUCCCCCCGACGUUCGUCUGCCAAGCCCCGCCUCGUCCAGUGGGAAGGCCGCCGGGAGGCGUCUGUUGAGGAGGGGGCCCUGUUGUGGUGGCAGCCCGGCUGACGGUUCACUCAUCCUCCGUUCAGUCGGCUGGGCUCAUCCACCGGUCCUCUCCUCCUCGGACUUCCCCCACGGCAUCCUCCCUGUUCUCCCUCGCCUCCUCGCUUCCUCGGCCCCAGUGUUCCCCGGCUCCCUGGUCCCAGUCUCCCCAGUUGCCCGUGCCUGUUUCCCCGUCAUCCACCUCUCCCUCUACUCCAGUCCCUCUACCCCUUUUUCCCUCAAUAAACCUCCUUCCCUCCGAA